AUACAUAGGGGGCAAGCGUUAUCCGGAAUUAUUGGGUUUAAAGGGUGCGCAGGCGGCCAUUUAAGUCAGCGGUUAAAUCGUGGGGCUCAACCCCAUUCUGCCGUUGAUACUGGGUGGCUUGAUUGCGGUCGAGGUUGGCGGAAUCCGUUGUGUAGCGGUGAAAUGCAUAGAUAUGACGAAGAACCCCGCUUGCGUAGGCAGCUGACCAGACCGCAAAUGACGCUCAUGCACGAAAGUGCGGGGAUCGAACAGGAUUAGAUUCCCUGGUAGUCCGCACAGUAAACGAUGAAUACUUGUUUUCGGCGAUAUAAUGUCGGAGGCAAAGCGAAAGCGAUAAGUAUUCCACCUGGGGAGUACGCCGGCAACGGUGAAACUCAAAUGAAUUGGCGGGG
rnacentral:rRNA from 1 species